rnacentral:rRNA from 1 species
GAUGAACGCUGGCGGCGUGCCUAAUACAUGCAAGUCGAGCGAACGGACGAGAAGCUUGCUUCUCUGAUGUUAGCGGCGGACGGGUGAGUAACACGUGGAUAACCUACCUAUAAGACUGGGAUAACUUCGGGAAACCGGAGCUAAUACCGGAUAAUAUUUUGAACCGCAUGGUUCAAAAGUGAAAGACGGUCUUGCUGUCACUUAUAGAUGGAUCCGCGCUGCAUUAGCUAGUUGGUAAGGUAACGGCUUACCAAGGCAACGAUGCAUAGCCGACCUGAGAGGGUGAUCGGCCACACUGGAACUGAGACACGGUCCAGACUCCUACGGGAGGCAGCAGUAGGGAAUCUUCCGCAAUGGGCGAAAGCCUGACGGAGCAACGCCGCGUGAGUGAUGAAGGUCUUCGGAUCGUAAAACUCUGUUAUUAGGGAAGAACAUAUGUGUAAGUAACUGUGCACAUCUUGACGGUACCUAAUCAGAAAGCCACGGCUAACUACGUGCCAGCAGCCGCGGUAAUACGUAGGUGGCAAGCGUUAUCCGGAAUUAUUGGGCGUAAAGCGCGCGUAGGCGGUUUUUUAAGUCUGAUGUGAAAGCCCACGGCUCAACCGUGGAGGGUCAUUGGAAACUGGAAAACUUGAGUGCAGAAGAGGAAAGUGGAAUUCCAUGUGUAGCGGUGAAAUGCGCAGAGAUAUGGAGGAACACCAGUGGCGAAGGCGACUUUCUGGUCUGUAACCGACGCUGAUGUGCGAAAGCGUGGGGAUCAAACAGGAUUAGAUACCCUGGUAGUCCACGCCGUAAACGAUGAGUGCUAAGUGUUAGGGGGUUUCCGCCCCUUAGUGCUGCAGCUAACGCAUUAAGCACUCCGCCUGGGGAGUACGACCGCAAGGUUGAAACUCAAAGGAAUUGGCGGGGACCCGCACAAGCGGUGGAGCAUGUGGUUUAAUUCGAAGCAACGCGAAGAACCUUACCAAAUCUUGACAUCCUUUGACAACUCUAGAGAUAGAGCCUUCCCCUUCGGGGGACAAAGUGACAGGUGGUGCAUGGUUGUCGUCAGCUCGUGUCGUGAGAUGUUGGGUUAAGUCCCGCAACGAGCGCAACCCUUAAGCUUAGUUGCCAUCAUUAAGUUGGGCACUCUAAGUUGACUGCCGGUGACAAACCGGAGGAAGGUGGGGAUGACGUCAAAUCAUCAUGCCCCUUAUGAUUUGGGCUACACACGUGCUACAAUGGACAAUACAAAGGGCAGCGAAACCGCGAGGUCAAGCAAAUCCCAUAAAGUUGUUCUCAGUUCGGAUUGUAGUCUGCAACUCGACUACAUGAAGCUGGAAUCGCUAGUAAUCGUAGAUCAGCAUGCUACGGUGAAUACGUUCCCGGGUCU